rnacentral:rRNA from 1 species
CCUACGGGGGGCAGCAGUGAGGAAUAUUGGUCAAUGGACGAGAGUCUGAACCAGCCAUGCCGCGUGAAGGAUGACUGCCCUAUGGGUUGUAAACUUCUUUUAUAAAGGAGUAAAACGAGGCACGUGUGCCUUUUUGCAUGUACUUUAUGAAUAAGGAUCGGCUAACUCCGUGCCAGCAGCCGCGGUAAUACGGAGGAUCCGAGCGUUAUCCGGAUUUAUUGGGUUUAAAGGGAGCGUAGAGGGUUUGUUAAGUCAGUGGUGAAAGUAUGGUGCUCAACCCUGGAACUGCCUUUAAUACUGGUGAAAGAGAGAGUAGUUGAGGUAAGAGGAAUGUAUGGUGUAGCGGUGAAAUGCUUAGAGAUCA